rfam:Salmo salar isolate Sally breed double haploid chromosome ssa03, whole genome shotgun sequence.
UGCACUCACUACUGUAAGUUGCUCUGGAUUAGAGCGUCUGCUAAAAUGACUAAAA